rnacentral:rRNA from 1 species
GACGUAGGGCGCGAGCGUUGUCCGGAUUUAUUGGGCGUAAAGAGCUCGUAGGCGGCUUGUCACGUCGGGUGUGAAAGCCCGGGGCUUAACCCCGGGUCUGCAUUCGAUACGGGCUAGCUAGAGUGUGGUAGGGGAGAUCGGAAUUCCUGGUGUAGCGGUGAAAUGCGCAGAUAUCAGGAGGAACACCGGUGGCGAAGGCGGGUCUCUGGGCAACAACUGACGCUGAGGAGCGAAAGCGUGGGGAGCGAACAGG